rnacentral:rRNA from 1 species
GACGAACGCUGGCGGCGUGCUUAACACAUGCAAGUCGAACGGAAAGGCCCUGCUUUUGUGGGGUGCUCGAGUGGCGAACGGGUGAGUAACACGUGAGUAACCUGCCCUUGACUUUGGUAUAACUUCAGGAAACUGGGGCUAAUACCGUAUAGGAUCUCCUGCUGCAUGGUGGGGGUGGGAAAUUUUCGGCGGUUGGGGAUGGACUCGCGGCUUAUCAGCUUGUUGGUGGGGUAGUGGCUUACCAAGGCUUUGACGGGUAGCCGGCCUGAGAGGGUGACCGGCGACAUUGGGACUGAGAUACGGACCAGACUCCUACGGGAGGCAGCAGUGGGGAAUAUUGCACAAUGGGCGGAAGCCUGAUGAAGCAACGCCGCGUGCGGGAUGACGGCCUUCGGGUUGUAAACCGCUUUCGCCUGUGACGAAGCGUGAGUGACGGUAAUGGGUAAAGAAGCACCGGCUAACUACGUG